UGGUGGGCUAGGCUGGGGGAUUCGGCGUCCCCUGUAACCCGAAACCGUCGAUAUGCGGGAGCCGAAGCCGAGGGAAGGUCCGCAUGCCCGCAGUUUGCUGGGCAAUGCGUUUCCGUAGAGUCCUCGUCCUGGAGGGUCGGCGGUUACGGCGGGCUUCUUGGAGGAGGGGUUCGCCGUAUUCGUCGGAGGCACCGGCUGAGGCCCGGAAGGGAGCAAGCCUACUCCGAACGACCGGCGCUUCUGGGGGUACGGGGAGGAGGAGCGCAUUGCCCAGGACUGCGGAAACAGCGGAUCGACCCGAGGCGCGCCCACCA
rnacentral:SRP_RNA from 2 species